CGGAACGUAGCGCAGUCCGGUAGCGCACUUGAAUGGGGUUCAAGGGGUCGCGGGUUCAAAUCCCGCCGUUCCGACCA
rnacentral:tRNA from 8 species